rnacentral:rRNA from 1 species
ACCCAGACUCCUACGGGAGGCAGCAGUGGGGGAUAUUGCACAAUGGGGGGAACCCUGAUGCAGCGACGCCGCGUGGGUGAAGGAGCGUUUCGGCGCGUAAAGCCCUCUCGGCAGGGAAGAAGGAGGACGGUACCUGACUAAGAAGCCCCGGCUAACUACGUGCCAGCAGCCGCGGGAAUACGUAGGGGGCGAGCGUUAUCCGGAUUCACUGGGUGUAAAGGGAGCGUAGACGGCCAUGCAAGCCAGGGGUGAAAGCCCGGGGCCCAACCCCGGGACUGCCCUUGGAACUGCAUGGCUGGAGUGCGGGAGGGGCAGGCGGAAUUCCUGGUGUAGCGGUGAAAUGCGUAGAUAUCAGGAGGAACACCGGCGGCGAAGGCGGCCUGCUGGACCGUGACUGACGUUGAGGCUCGAGAGCGUGGGGAGCAAACAGGAUUAGAUACCCCCGUA